CCUACGGGGGGCUGCAGUGGGGACUAUUGGGCAAUGGGCGCAAGCCUGACCCAGCAACGCCGCGUGAAGGAUGCAGGUUUUCGGAUUGUAAACUUCUGUCGCGAGGGACGAAGAAUGACGGUACCUCGUAAGAAAGCCCCGGCUAACUCCGUGCCAGCAGCGGCGGUAAUACGUAGGGGGCAAGCGUUGUCCGGAAUGAUUGGUCGGAAAGGGAGAGGAGGCGGCCUUGUAAGUUAGAUGUGAAAGCCUACGGCUUAACCGUAGACCUGCAUCUAAAACUGUGAGGCUGGAGUGCAGGAGAGGUGAGUGGAAGUCCUAGUGUAGCGGUGGAAUGCGUAGAUAUUAGGAGGAACACCAGAGGCGAAGGCGACUCACUGGACUGUAACUGACGCUGAGGCUCGAAAGCGUGGGGAGCAAACAGGAUUAGAUACCCGAGUAGUC
rnacentral:rRNA from 1 species